AGGCACGUAGCUCAGUUGGUUAGAGCACCACCUUGACAUGGUGGGGGUCGUUGGUUCGAAUUCAAUCGUGCCUACCA
rnacentral:tRNA from 1 species